GUCGCGCGGAUCUUCAGAGAUUAGAGUUUGAUCAUGGCUCAGAUUGAACGCUGGCGACAGGCCUAACACAUGCAAGUCGAGCGUGAAAGGGCUUCGGCCUGAGUAAAGCGGCGGACGGGUGAGUAACGCGUAGGAAUCUACCUGGUAGUGGGGGAUAACGUUCCGAAAGGAACGCUAAUACCGCAUACGUUCUGAGGAAGAAAGCAGGGGACCGCAAGGCCUUGCGCUAUCAGAUGAGCCUGCGUCCGAUUAGCUAGUUGGUAGGGUAAAGGCCUACCAAGGCGACGAUCGGUAACUGGUCUGAGAGGAUGAUCAGUCACACUGGAACUGAGACACGGUCCAGACUCCUACGGGAGGCAGCAGUGGGGAAUAUUGGACAAUGGGGGCAACCCUGAUCCAGCCAUGCCGCGUGUGUGAAGAAGGCCUUCGGGUUGUAAAGCACUUUAAGCGGGGAGGAAGGCUUGAUGGCUAAUAUCCAUCAGGAUUGACGUUACCCGCAGAAUAAGCACCGGCAAACUUCGUGCCAGCAGCCGCGGUAAUACGAAGGGUGCGAGCGUUAAUCGGAAUUACUGGGCGUAAAGCGCGCGUAGGUGGUUUUGUAAGCGGAAUGUGAAAUCCCCGGGCUCAACCUGGGAACUGCAUGCCGAACUGCAAGGCUAGAGUAUAGUAGAGGGGUGUGGAAUUCCCGGUGUAGCGGUGAAAUGCGUAGAUAUCGGGAGGAACAUCAGUGGCGAAGGCGGCACCCUGGACUGAUACUGACACUGAGGCGCGAAAGCGUGGGUAGCGAACAGGAUUAGAUACCCUGGUAGUCCACGCCGUAAACGAUGUCUGCUAGCUGUUGGGGCGCUUGACGCUUCAGUGGCGUAGUUAACGCGAUAAGCAGACCGCCCGGGGAGUACGGCCGCAAGGUUAAAACUCAAAUGAAUUGACGGGGGCCCGCACAAGCGGUGGAGUAUGUGGGUUUAAUUCGACGCAACGCGAAAAACCUUACCCGGUCUUGACAUCCUGGGGACUUUCUAGAGAUAGAUUGGUGCCGCAAGGAGCCCAGAGAA
rnacentral:rRNA from 1 species